GACGAACGCUGGUGGCGUGCUUAACACAUGCAAGUCGAACGGGAUUUAGUAAACAGAAGCCUCGGUGGAAGAUUACUAAUGAGAGUGGCGAACGGGUGAGUAACGCGUGAGCAACCUGCCUAUGACAGUGGGAUAGCCUCGGGAAACCGGGAUUAAUACCGCAUAAAAUCGUAGAAACACAUGUUUUAACGGUCAAAGAUUUAUCGGUCAUAGAUGGGCUCGCGUCUGAUUAGCUAGUUGGUGAGAUAACAGCCCACCAAGGCGACGAUCAGUAGCCGGUAUGAGAGGAUGAACGGCCACAUUGGAACUGAGACACGGUCCAAACUCCUACGGGAGGCAGCAGUGGGGAAUAUUGCACAAUGGGGGAAACCCUGAUGCAGCGACGCCGCGUGAACGAAGAAGGUAUUCGUAUCGUAAAGUUCUGUCCUAUGGGAAGAUAAUGACAGUACCAUAGAAGAAAGCCCCGGCUAAAUACGUG
rnacentral:rRNA from 1 species